UUCAAUGUUUUGUUUUAGUGUGAAUUUAUAUUGGUUUUACCAUCUGUCCUCCAUUUUAACCACCAAGCUCAGUCUCCCUUCACAAGAUGACUCACUGGGAGACACAAAGUAUUUCUGAGACCUCUGGACCUCCAUCCCAUAGGAGAUCCCAACUGUUCUUGUCUGCCAAAAGAAGGUCCUCCUGGUCCUGAUGUGGUCCACAACGCCAGCAUCUUGAAGCAUGUCCUAAGAGUCUGACAAGAAAAUCAAGACAGAACUAUGGUGGUUUGGACAAGAAUGGCCCUCAUAGUCUACAUUUGAAUGCUUGGUUUCCAGCUGGUGGACUGCUCAAAAGGAUUAAGAGGCCUGAGUGCUAGACUGGUUCAAAGAGAAAUUUUCAGCCAAUCAACAACUGGGGUUCUGCUUUGGGGUACUGUGUGAGGACGCACUUCCUGCCUGUGGAGCUAACUGCUUUCGACCCUGGACGCUUCUAAAGCAACAGUUCCCCCAUUUGCCCUCUGAGUUGCAAAACCAGUUCUCAGCAGGAAAAGAAAAAUCGCUACUUACCCUUGAAAAGUGUCUCCUUUAUGUGUGAAAACACUGAGGUGAAAAUGUCAAAAAUUUCACAUUUCUUUGAGCCUGUGAAAUCUAAAGGGAUGUGAAAUUUGCCCAUGACCCAGAAAGGAGUGAUGGGUGCUUCU